rnacentral:lncRNA from 1 species
CUUAACUCUACAAAAGCAAACUCUAAUGCAUGCAAGAAUCAUUAGGUUGGCAGGUAUAUUCAUAAGUGAAAAACCUGGAAGUGUAAUGGUAGAACAUAAAACUUGUAUUGCUUCUGUUUCAGUGCAAACAUGUACUAGCCAAUACGCUUAAGUGUGUGGCCCACAAAAUCGAACAAUUGAACUUUGACGUCAUACCCAUGAUCUUAUGUGGAUUUUUUAACUGAGGAGAAACUAGUCCAGCCUAAAAUGUUUCUUUUAAUCUGUAUUCUGUUCUUUCUCUUCUGAUAGUGCCAUUACUAGUGCUCAUGUUAUCAUUUUUUCCCCUUUACUAAAAAUGAUAAACAUUUAUUUGAGAUAAUUAAAAUCCUUCUGGGGGCACUGGAAGCACAAUAUGGUGACUGAUCUUUCUUUCUUUCUUUCUUUUUUAAAAUUCGAACUAUGAUUUUGCUAGAAAUAGAAGGCCCAGUGGUGGAAUGUUAGAGGAAUAAAAACUGACAGUGUGUGAAGGUUUAGAGGCAAAUGC